GAAGAAACUUCCGGCUGGGCUGGGGGAAGAAACGGAGGGGACUCAAAUUACAUCCCUUCUCUCUAACUACAACUGGCUGGUUCAGGGGCUCUCCCUAAGGAUCAACUGCAUCAUCUCAGAAGACAAUUGUCAACACUACUGCUACAGUUCUCUGGUGCAAGAGGGCAAUUUAAUCACAGAGUUGUUCUGCACAGAGCCCUGAUGACUGAGGAUGCCAAGGAAAUGAGUUCUUCUAAGUAUCCCACCCCUGUCUUGCCCUGAGGCAAUGUGCACUUAAACAAAUACAGGUUGAGGACUGGAAAGAGCUAUGCAGCUGGGCAGGAUGUAAAGCAAGCGAUCACAGGAGUGACAAUAGGAAUGAAAAAAAUAUUUCUGGUGCAUACCUUUGUCUCAGUUGCUUCCUAUUCUUUAUAAGAACUACAAAACUUUUUUGGAAGGAAAAUCAGACGUUACUGAAAUGCUGAACAAUCCCAGUUCCCUCAGCCUCUCCUCAUAGUCCUUCCAGUGCAGCACAGAGCAUGGCUCUGGUACCUCCAGGAUGGAACUACACUUCAUAAAGCUACACUCUGGCAACUCUACCUUGUAAUUUUCUGAACUUCAUGGAUGUCUACACUGCAGCUGUGAGGUGUGAUUCCCAUCACAGGUAGACAGACUCGCAAGGGCUCAGCCUAAGCAAGUGCAUUAAAAACAGUGGUGUGGACUUUGCGGUAUGGUUCUGGCUUGGGCUAGCCCCCCAGCUCAGAUCCAGGAGAUCAGGUGGGCUUGGACACAGGUGGCUGGUAGGAGCAGUUUGUCUGGCAAGGCUGCUGAUUGGCUGCAGGGGCCUCUUUCCUGUCAGUUGUAAUUAGUGGGAGGCAGGAAGGAUUGCAGCUGAAAGGGGGGCAUAUUUGCUCCGUGAGGUAACCAGCCUGAGUAGUAGUAUCCCCUGCUACCAAUUGCCAGGGACAGAAUGGAAGGUGGGGGAUUUAAAAUGGAGACCAGGAGUGUGUGUUUCCUGUGUGGUGACCAAUUCCCUUUUUCUGAGGUGAUGUGAGGAGGAAACUUCAGGUCUCAUCCCACCCCUUGCUCUGCAGCAGUGCUUCUGACUGGAAGAACAGAGCAAUGUGACACAUCAAACUCUAAAUGGGUGGCGUCGGCAAGAAUGGCCUUGGCUC